rnacentral:rRNA from 1 species
AGAGUUUGAUCCUGGCUCAGAAUGAACGUUGGCGGCGUGGAUUAGGCAUGCAAGUCGAGCGCGAACCGUAGCAAUACGGUGAAAGCGGCGUAAGGGACAGUAAUGCGUAGAUACCUACCCUCUGGUUCAGGAUAGCUGCGGGAAACUGCAGGUAAUACUGAAUAAAGUCUCCGGACCAAAGGUGUGAUUCCACCGGAGGAUGGGUCUGCGUCCUAUUAGCUUGUUGGUGGGGUAACGGCCUACCAAGGCAAUGAUGGGUAGCGGGUGUGAGAGCACGACCCGCGUCACUGGGACUGAGACACUGCCCAGACACCUACGGGUGGCUGCAGUCGAGGAUCUUCGGCAAUGGGCGCAAGCCUGACCGAGCGACGCCGCGUGCGGGAUGAAGGCCUUCGGGUUGUAAACCGCUGUCAGAGGGGAUGAAAUACUUGGGGGUUCUCCCCCAAGCUUGACAUAUCCUCAGAGGAAGUGUGGGCUAAGUUCGUGCCAGCAGCCGCGGUAAGACGAACCACACAAACGUUAUUCGGAAUUACUGGGCUUAAAGGGUGCGUAGGCGGCGCGGAAAGUUGGGUGUGAAAUCCCUCGGCUCAACCGAGGAACUGCGCCCAAAACUACCGUGCUCGAGGGAGAUAGAGGUGAGCGGAACUUAGGGUGGAGCGGUGAAAUGCGUUGAUAUCCUAAGGAACACCCGUGGCGAAAGCGGCUCACUGGGUCUUCUCUGACGCUGAGGCACGAAAGCUAGGGUAGCGAACGGGAUUAGAUACCCUAGUAGUCC